GAUGAACGCUGGCGGCGUGCCUAAUACAUGCAAGUCGAGCGAACGGACGAGAAGCUUGCUUCUCUGAUGUUAGCGGCGGACGGGUGAGUAACACGUGGAUAACCUACCUAUAAGACUGGGAUAACUUCGGGAAACCGUAGCUAAUACCGGAUAAUAUUUUGAACCGCAUGGUUCAAAAGUGAAAGACGGUCUUGCUGUCACUUAUAGAUGGAUCCGCGCUGCAUUAGCUAGUUGGUAAGGUAACGGCUUACCAAGGCAACGAUGCAUAGCCGACCUGAGAGGGUGGUCGGCCACACUGGAACUGAGACACGGUCCAGACUCCUACGGGAGGCAGCAGUAGGGAAUCUUGCGAAAUGGGCGAAAGACUGACGGAGCAACGCCGCGUGAGCGAUGAAGGUCUUCGGAUCGGAAAACUCUGUUAUUAGGGAAGAACAUAUGUGUAAGUAACUGUGCACAUCUUGACGGUACCUAAGCAGAAAGCCACGGCUAACUACGUGC
rnacentral:rRNA from 1 species